rnacentral:rRNA from 1 species
CCUACGGGUGGCAGCAGUGAGGGAUAUUGCGCAAUGGGCGAAAGCCUGACGCAGCGACGCCGCGUGGGCGAGGAAGGCCUUCGGGUUGUAAAGCCCUUUUCUGGGGGACGAGCAAGGACGGUACCCCAGGAAUCAGCGCCGGCGAACUACGUGCCAGCAGCCGCGGUAAAACGUAGGGCGCGAGCGUUAUCCGGAUUCACUGGGCGUAAAGCGCGUUGAGGCGGCUCCGUAAGUUGGGCGUGAAAGCCCCGGGCUAAACCCGGGGAGGCCGUCCAAUACUGCGGGGCUUGAGGGCAGCAGAGGGAGGUGGAAUUCCCGGUGUAGGGGUGAAAUGCGUAGAUAUCGGGAGGACCACCCGUGGCGAAGGCGGCCUCCUGGGCUGCUCCUGACGCUGAAGGCGAAAGCCAGGGGAGCGAACGGGAUUAGAUACCCCUGUAGU